UACAGAUCGCACAGGGAGAGGGAGAGAGAGAGAGAGAGAGAGAGAGAGAUGGCAAAGGGGAUCCUUAUAGCGUUGAUUUUGUGCUUUAUAAUCUUAGAGGCGGUCCUCGUAGCGGAGGCUGGAACCUUUUCAGAAGUUUACGAACAAUGCGUAAGUAACUGCAAGAAAGGUUGCGCGAAGAAGUUCUUUAAGUUUCUGUGCAGAGUCGCUUGCCAGAAUUCGACCUGCAGGACAUCAGGAGCCGGAGGUGGUGGACGUAAGCAUGGUUGACUGUAAAUCCCCAGCAGAAAGGCGCAGCCCCUCUCCUUCCCUGGAUGAGUAAUGCAACUACUUGAAGCUGCUCAUCAUGUCAUGGUGUGAUCUGUAUUAUUAUUAAUAUUAUUCUGAAUUUUAUAAAUGUAUCUUAAUAAGCCAAUAAUAAUGGAAUGGCGGGGUUCGUUUUCUA